ACGACUUUUCUACAACAUCCCUAACUCUCUUCUUAAUCUUACUUUGGGAAUUUGAAGCCAAGUGAGCACUCUCAUUCCUAUCCCGCACCAGCCUCUCCUCCUCUUGCACACAAUGAGAUAUAAGCUCAUCGAGAGACCAUUUGUCUUUCUGAGUAGUAUAUCUCACUUUGAAUUUCCCAAAGUGUGCCGGGAGAGAAACCAAAACAAA
rnacentral:lncRNA from 1 species